AUUAAUAAAUUUAUAUUUUUAGAUAAAAAAAUGAUUGUGGUUUGAAUUUUUUUUUUUUGUUUUUAAUGUGAUGAUCCUAUGGUGGUAAUAUUUGUUUAUUAUUAUGAAAAUAUUACAAGAUGAAUAGAUGCCAAAUUAAUAUAGGAUGUGGAAAUUAAUAUUCAAUUUUUUAUAAAAUUGAUUCAAUUUUUACAAACAUUUACGCAUGCUUAGUAGUGGCUUUUAAAAGUGUCAAUGAAAAGAACAUAUAAGUGGCAUUUUGUAGUAGUGGUAGUAGCUUUGCAAAGUGUCACUAGAAUAAGUUCCAAUGGCAUUUAUAUCCAUUUAAUGGCACAAAUGAAUUAGAUUUGGUGGCAUUUAUGAAGUUGUUAAAACUAUCAAUUGUGGCAUAACAAGCGCCAUUAAAAAUCCAUAUAAUGGCAUUUUUUAGAUUGUAAAUCUUUUUUAAUGGCACUUGAUAGCGUCACAAAUAAUGUCUACCAUGACAUUAAAGUGUCACUGAAAGUCUUUAGCCUUGAUGGUAUAAUGACACUUACAAGUGUCAUUGAAGUGCCACUAAAUCUUUUUUUAAUGGAGUUUGAUAGUGUCACAAAUAGUGUCUAUCAUGACAUCAAAGUGUCAUUGAAAGUCUUUAGCCAUGAUAAUGUAAUGACACUUGCAAGUGUCACUGAGGUGCCACUAGUAUCUACCGUAGCACGGGUAUAAAUGGCACUUGUUGAAAAUGCCAUAAGACUAAAAAAUGUCAUUAGAAGAAUAAUUUUGUGACACUUUCAAAUGUCACUAAACUAAGAAAAUGUCGUAGUGAAAUAACCAUUGGCCCUCUAAUUAGUCACGUUGUGACCCUCCGUCUGUGAUAGAUCCACUGACACUCUGAUUUCUAGUAUGGAGUAAAGUGUUGUACGGAGCUAAGUGCUACACUAUGGUGGGAGCCACCUCUAGAGUUCAUACGAGCCACCUCUUGAGUCCAUACAUCUGUUCUGUUCCGUUCUGAUUUCUAGUGUAGAGCAAAGUGUUGUACGGAGCUAAGUGCUACACUACGGUAGGAGCCACCUCUAGAGUUCGUAUGAGCUGCCUCUUGUGUCCAUACAUUUGUUCUGUUCCGUUCUAUACCAUGGUUAUGAUUAUUUUGUUUAUAUGAUCUCUGUAUUAUAUACUUUGUAUUUUAAUAUCAAGCUUUGUUUAGCCAAUAAUUAUCCAUGGUGAAUUUUAUGCCCUUAAGCUCUUAGUAUAAAUUUCUCACUUUGCCAUGCUUAUAGUUGUUUACCAAUUUUUAGGAAACAAUACAAUUCAGAAAUAACUUUUGGAGAGUCUUAGACGCAGGGCUGUGGAAUAGACACACACAAUACUUUUAUAGUAUUUAUAAUUCUAUUCUUCAUAUGUAAAUAUCGGCCUUUUUGGUUUAUAAAUUUUGUUAUAAAAAUAUAAACUCCAAUGAUUAUUUUGGUACCCACAGUUAAAUAUUUUUCCGCUCGUGUUUAGUAAUAUGUUUAAGAAUUGGUUGGAGGUAACUUCAGUUACUGGCUAUCACGAUGCUUAACCCUUGGUUACGCGGAGCGGGUUGUGACAAGUGAUAUCAGAGUCUAGGUUUUUAAAAUUAUUUUUAUCAAAGUAAUGGAGCAUAAGACAUAUGUACAAAUAGGAUGGGGGAAACGUUGAGCUAGAUUAUAGGUUGUAUUUAAAUUAAAUAGUUGUAGCAGCAAUCAUGGUAUAGAUAAUUAUGGUAAUUAAUAUGAGUCUAUAUUUAUCAGAGUGUGCAGCGGAUAGUUUACACAUGACAAAUUUCGAGGACGAAACUUUUAAAAGGAAGGAAGAUUGUAACAACUCGAAAAUUAAAUUGUCCUUUAAAUUUUAUGUUAGUAUUAUUUCAUAAUAAAUUAUUUCAAAAAAUAACAAUUUUAACUUUAUAUUAUUAUUCAAUAUUAUUUUCUGAGUAUUAUGAUAUUUUGUUAUAUUUUUCUAUAUAUUUUUCUUAAACUAAAAUACACUGAAAUACAUCAUUUUCUGUACAACAGCUGACUUGCGCCCCAAGCUUUCUUGCUCUACACGUCAUCUUCACAAUAUAUAUGUAGCCAUCCACCAAUCAUCACGAGCAUCCUUAUCACUACUAGAAAUUUGACUUUUUGCGUCUAUUUUUUUGCGAUUGAUUACUUAACCGUCGCAAAAAAUAAUUUUUGACCUCAAAAUCUCAUGUUACAACCUCAUUUGUUCUUAUUUUACAAUCUCAGUUUCCUAACCCAAUCGUUCUUAACUUUAAAAAAAGAAAAAACCAAAUCAGUAAAACUUGACUCUCUCUCCCUCCCUCUCAAUCCGCUUUUUUUUCUUAUUUCCCAAAUAUGAACUCUCUUUCUCUACCUCUCAAAAUCUGUCUCUCGCUCGACUCUCGCUCGAAUCUCAUUGCCUCUCUCGCUCGAAUCUCACUGCCUCUCUCGCUCAAAUCUGUCGAUCGAUUCAACUCUCUCAAGUCCACAACUGUUGAAGAUUUCAUAAUCGCGCUUUGCAUGGAGCUAUGGCGCGCUUGUGCUGGUCCGCUCGUGACAGUGCCUCGUGAAGGCGAACGCGUGUUCUAUUUUCCUCAAGGACAUAUUGAGCAGAUAUAGUGUUUGCAUGGAUCCACUGAUGGACUGGACAGUAUGUUUUAUGCUCAUCUUUUUGCAAUAACUACAGUUUCUUCUUGAUGAUGUUUUGCUCUUACAUGUUUUCUUCCUCACAGAUAUGUUGCAAUCAUGAAUGCAAUAUUCUCAGCUCAACGUCAAUGCAAUGUCACAGGUAUAAAAUCUUACUGAAGCAGUUGAGAGAGAGAGAGAGAGAGAUCUUAAAAGCAUCUUUGUAGAAUUUGCAUAUGCAUCUUGGAGAAGAUAGAGCUAGCACUCGUGAAUGAAUACAUGGUUUGGUUACUACUGCAGAAUUAUGUUAAAUUGACGAAUUUUACGAAUUUGCAUAUGCAUCUGGGAGUACGAGCUUGAGAGAGGUGUCAAAUGCAUCUAGUGGGCAACAGGCUUCAAAAGAAAAUGAAUAGGUUUUGUUGAGGGAGUAGUUGAUAAAUCGAGCGGCUGAUGUUUAGGAGCCAAA